AAUGCAUAUUGCGACCUUCUGGUACUCCAGGAGGUAUGCCUGUUUGAGAAUCGUGACCACCCCUCACUUCAAACGAAGUGGACUAUGAGUUUUCUCAAGUAGUUCAUUCUUUUUAAAGAGUGAAUAGACUUGGGUGACUUGAAAUACAUGUAGGCCUUGGAUGGAACACCCCAUGGUGAAAAGGCGUGAUAAAACGUUCAAAAUUUUGAACAAGUAUUAAUCGCUUCAAGUAACUUUGGGAAUAAAAGUGACGUCCUUGUUAGCCAACACCGCAGGAAAUUGAAAGUCUUAAAAGCACUUUCUGUGAACUGAAUCUCAAAUCAGGCAAGACUACCCGCUGAACUUAA
rnacentral:misc_RNA from 1 species